UACAGAGGGUGCAAGCGUUAAUCGGAAUUACUGGGCGUAAAGGGUGCGUAGGUGGUUUGUUAAGUCAGGCGUGAAAUCCCUGGGCUCAACCUGGGAACUGCGUUUGAUACUGGCAGACUCGAGUCUGGUAGAGGGUAGUGGAAUUCCGCAUGUAGCGGUGAAAUGCGUAGAUAUGUGGAGGAAUACCGAUGGCGAAGGCCGCCCCCUGGGUCGACACUGACGCUCAUGCACGAAAGCGUGGGGAGCAAACAGG
rnacentral:rRNA from 1 species